UACGAAGGGGGCUAGCGUUGCUCGGAAUCACUGGGCGUAAAGCGCACGUAGGCGGCUCUUUAAGUCAGGGGUGAAAUCCUGGAGCUCAACUCCAGAACUGCCUUUGAUACUGGGGAUCUCGAGUCCGGAAGAGGUGAGUGGAACUCCGAGUGUAGAGGUGAAAUUCGUAGAUAUUCGGAAGAACACCAAUAGCGAAGGCAGCUCGCUGGGACGUUACUGACACUGAGGCGCGAAAGCGUGGGGAGCGAACAGG
rnacentral:rRNA from 1 species